rnacentral:rRNA from 1 species
UCAGGAUGAACGCUAGCUACAGGCUUAACACAUGCAAGUCGAGGGGCAGCAUUAUCGAAGCUUGCUUGAUAGAUGGCGACCGGCGCACGGGUGAGUAACGCGUAUCCAACCUUCCCAUCACUCAGGGAUAGCCCGCCGAAAGGCGAAUUAAUACCUGAUGGUCUCCUUUGCAGACAUCUAACGAGGAGUAAAGAUUCAUUGGUGAUGGAUGGGGAUGCGUCUGAUUAGGUAGUAGGCGGGGUAACGGCCCACCUAGCCGACGAUCAGUAGGGGUUCUGAGAGGAAGGUCCCCCACAUUGGAACUGAGACACGGUCCAAACUCCUACGGGAGGCAGCAGUGAGGAAUAUUGGUCAAUGGACGGAAGUCUGAACCAGCCAAGUAGCGUGCAGGAUGACGGCCCUAUGGGUUGUAAACUGCUUUUGUGCGGGAAUAAAGUAUGGGACGUGUCCCGUUUUGCAUGUACCGCACGAAUAAGGACCGGCUAAUUCCGUGCCAGCCGCCGC